UUAAAUUGAAGAGUUUGAUCAUGGCUCAGAUUGAACGCUGGCGGCAGGCCUAACACAUGCAAGUCGAACGGUAACAGGAAGCAGCUUGCUGCUUUGCUGACGAGUGGCGGACGGGUGAGUAAUGUCUGGGAAACUGCCUGAUGGAGGGGGAUAACUACUGGAAACGGUGGCUAAUACCGCAUAACGUCGCAAGACCAAAGAGGGGGACCUUCGGGCCUCUUGCCAUCAGAUGUGCCCAGAUGGGAUUAGCUUGUUGGUGAGGUAACGGCUCACCAAGGCGACGAUCCCUAGCUGGUCUGAGAGGAUGACCAGCCACACUGGAACUGAGACACGGUCCAGACUCCUACGGGAGGCAGCAGUGGGGAAUAUUGCACAAUGGGCGCAAGCCUGAUGCAGCCAUGCCGCGUGUAUGAAGAAGGCCUUCGGGUUGUAAAGUACUUUCAGCGGGGAGGAAGGUGUUGUGGUUAAUAACCGCAGCAAUUGACGUUACCCGCAGAAGAAGCACCGGCUAACUCCGUGCCAGCAGCCGCGGUAAUACGGAGGGUGCAAGCGUUAAUCGGAAUUACUGGGCGUAAAGCGCACGCAGGCGGUCUGUCAAGUCGGAUGUGAAAUCCCCGGGCUCAACCUGGGAACUGCAUUCGAAACUGGCAGGCUUGAGUCUUGUAGAGGGGGGUGGAAUUCCAGGUGUAGCGGUGAAAUGCGUAGAGAUCUGGAGGAAUACCGGUGGCGAAGGCGGCCCCCUGGACAAAGACUGACGCUCAGGUGCGAAAGCGUGGGGAGCAAACAGGAUUAGAUACCCUGGUAGUCCACGCCGUAAACGAUGUCUACUUGGAGGUUGUGCCCUUGAGGCGUGGCUUCCGGAGCUAACGCGUUAAGUAGACCGCCUGGGGAGUACGGCCGCAAGGUUAAAACUCAAAUGAAUUGACGGGGGCCCGCACAAGCGGUGGAGCAUGUGGUUUAAUUCGAUGCAACGCGAAGAACCUUACCUGGUCUUGACAUCCACGGAAGUUUUCAGAGAUGAGAAUGUGCCUUCGGGAACCGUGAGACAGGUGCUGCAUGGCUGUCGUCAGCUCGUGUUGUGAAAUGUUGGGUUAAGUCCCGCAACGAGCGCAACCCUUAUCCUUUGUUGCCAGCGGUCCGGCCGGGAACUCAAAGGAGACUGCCAGUGAUAAACUGGAGGAAGGUGGGGAUGACGUCAAGUCAUCAUGGCCCUUACGACCAGGGCUACACACGUGCUACAAUGGCGCAUACAAAGAGAAGCGACCUCGCGAGAGCAAGCGGACCUCAUAAAGUGCGUCGUAGUCCGGAUUGGAGUCUGCAACUCGACUCCAUGAAGUCGGAAUCGCUAGUAAUCGUGGAUCAGAAUGCCACGGUGAAUACGUUCCCGGGCCUUGUACACACCGCCCGUCACACCAUGGGAGUGGGUUGCAAAAGAAGUAGGUAGCUUAACCUUCGGGAGGGCGCUUACCACUUUGUGAUUCAUGACUGGGGUGAAGUCGUAACAAGGUAACCGUAGGGGAACCUGCGGUUGGAUCACCUCCUUACCUUAGAGAAGC
rnacentral:rRNA from 1 species